GGCCGAGUUCAUUUGCUGAUAACAAACAAAUUCAAUAAAACGAAAAGGGUUCCAUUUAAAAACGACAACUGAGGAGAAAGUCACAAUGCGCUAGUUAAGAUGCACUGAGCAUUCAAGAUACUUGGAUUAACGUCCGUGUUUGUCGGAACCGAAACUACAACUAAAAGAUGCACUGAGCAUUCAAGAUACUUGGAUUAACGUCCGUGUUUGUCGGAACCGAAACUACAACUAAAAGAUGCACUGAGCAUUCAAGAUACUUGGAUUAACGUCCGUGUUUGUCGGAACCGAAACUACAACUAAAAUAGUGAGUCAUAUAUUUUCAGAAAACAUUCUAGAAAUGAUAUAAAAGAGAUGGAAUAGAUAAACGUUUGUGCUUUCCAUCUUCAACAUCUGGAGUUACAUGAUCACAAUGGCUACUGUUCUCCUUAAGCCGUCUGAGAUAAGAUUCUCACAAGACAGUAUAAGCAACAAGUUUUCGGGUGCGAUACAGAACAGUUAUAUCGGUGAUGUACUUGAUCAAAUUUACAAUGGCGACAUAACAUUUCUUAAAAACAAAAUCCUGGCAAACAUGAAAGUGGGUUGCUGGAAUAAACCCGGAUACGAUCAGCUUUGGUUCACCGUUAACAACAGAAGCCUUUGGGUGCUGAAAGAACUCGAGCUACUGGGAAAAAUAAACGGUCAAAUCCAAAUACAAAUUGAUCCGCAUCAUAUCGACGCAAAGCGUUUUACUACUAAAAACAAAGGGACAACAGUUAUUGUCCGGCAAAGACCAGUAGGAGGAACCAGGGCACAGCCUGCUGAGUUUUGGGCAUAUAAACAGCCGCCAGUUAUUGGAGCCACCCAGUACGGUGCGGGUAUGUUCGCGCCAGCCAGCCUGUUCGGUGCGGUAGCGGCCUUAUUCGGUGAAGGCGGACUGUACGUGGAAGAGGAUGAUGGAUAUGAUUCCGACGAAUAUUAUAUCUAAGGGCGAUUAAUCGGGGAGGAAUCGUGUUUAGUCGGACUUGUGGCAUCGGCGAUCCUCGUUGGAUCAUUUUUGAUCGAUAUACGUGAGCGUUGUUCCAUGAACGCAAAAGAACUUGUUCGAUCAUAAGAAAAUGCCAACGCAUAUUUCUUUGUUUAUACUUUUCAAGUAAUUAAAAGAACAUCAAUUAGAACUGAUGAGUUUAAUUUCAUUUUUGUAACAUUACGUCGGACAAUAAUUUCAUUUUAACAUUGUAUAAAUCAAAUAUGGUUGUUUACAUGGUUUAGAUUUCUUUUUGAAUUUCAAAAUAUAUGUGUGAUCAUACUUCUAUAAUUCACCAAUCGAUUGUAACCACACCCUCCCUCCAGGCCCGCGAGUAUGCCGGGGAAAAUGGCUCGUGUGUUAACCUUCCAGGUGGCCCCGCAGUGACUGCGGUGGUUUUGUUCUCGCGAAAAAAAUAGCGGGGAAUGGGCCUAACAUAGGAAGCCUCUGGGGUGCAUGGGCUUCGCUAGGGAUUUUACCAGCAGUUUUUUUUCUCGAAGGGCGGGGAUUUUACCGGGGAUUGGCUUGACCGAAAACAAAGUCCCCGCUAUUCCCCGGACCUUGGGGGCGUGGUUACAAUUGACUGGUGCACAAUAGACCACUCAGCAUAUUUUAUAAAUAUACGAUUAGGCUGCCGUACAUUUCAGUAAUUUGCCUCAAAGUAUUUACCGCCAUUCUUCAUGGUACUUUUAACAUACAUCAAUACAUUGUGUAUUUUACAGUCGAAACUCGUUGGCUCGAUAUCCGCGUUGGCUCGAAUCAGAUUAAAAGGACCGAUUUUUUUACUAUUUGUUCAUAUAAAAUUCGAUCGGAUGGCUCGAUAUCUUGAGGGUCGAUAUUUCUCCACGCUCGAAUACAUUUUCGCGGUCCCAAGUAAGAUUUUCACACUUUGUUUUGUUUGCUUGGGUCGAUGUCAUUUUCGCUGGUUCAGUUAAGAAUCUCACAUCUUGAUUUGUUUGCUUGGCACAAGGCGCUUAUCUAUUAAAAUUGCUUGACUGGUGUUAUAAUUAUUAUCAAAUUUAAAUGGUUUAACAGUUUGAAUAAACAUGCCAUCACUUUAAGUUCUGUCUCUAAUUGUUAUCCAUCUAUAAAUUUCUAUGCAUUUUGAUAUAACUUAUAAGCAAUGUUUGUGUUACCCACUGUUCAAAAUUGCUUGUUGGUUCUUUCCGUAUAAAUGUAUUUUUAUAAUAAAUAAAAAAAAUCCAAUGAUAUUUUCUAGGUAUCGAAUAAGUCAUGUUACGAACUUUACGAUGUGUAACAAUCUCUUAUACGUACUCUUCUCUUCUCUUGCUGAGAUAGCGUAGCAAACGAGGUAAACAGACUUUUUGUAACGAAUAAAAAAAAUAGCAUUCUGUAAGCAAUCCCGCUUGGCUCGAAAUUCUCGCGGCUCGAAGUAUUUUUGCCGGUCCCUAGAAUAUCGUGCCGUCGAGUUUCGAAUGUAUUAGACAAGAUAGCAUCUAGUAUGAACUUUGUGUAAAUCCUUUGUAAGCGCUGGGGUUACUGAAUAAAGCAUCAGACCGUUA